AGUUGGGGACUCUAGCGAGACUGCCAGUGAUAAACUGGAGGAAGUGGGGAUGACGUCAAAUCAUCAUGCCCCUUAUGACCUGGGCUACAAACGUGAUACAAUGGCUGAAACAAGGGCAGCGAAGCAGUGAUGUGGAGCGAAACCCAAAAAGCAGUCUCAGUUCGGAUUGAAGUCUGCAACUCGACUUCAUGAAGUCGGAAUCGCUAGUAAUCGCGGAUCAGAACGCCGCGGUGAAUACGUUCUCGGGGUUU
rnacentral:rRNA from 1 species